GCGAAAUGAAUCCAAUGAGAAGAUUUUGGAAUGAAACUCCUGAUUUUUAUACACCUUAACUUCAUCUUAAAUAACUUUACUCCCUGGAGUCUCACAACAACUUUGAGUGAAAGACAGAAACCUUUUCUGAUGGGACUAAAGUUGGCCAUCAGAUCAAACUCAGUUCUAAAACUUUGUACCAAAAGGAAAUCCUUCCCACAGUAAAGCACGGUGGAGGCAGUAUAAUGGUGUGGACCUUUAUUAUGGUUUGGGACACUUUUUUCUACAUUGCAUUUUAUGGAUAAUGUUUUCCUCUAAGAAGUGAAUGCCUGCAGCAAAUGAGACAGUUAUGACUGGAGAACUUCCUUAUUUAUUAAAUGAUUUCAACGUUUGUUCGAUUGUUUCAGCAGAUAUGAAGUGUUUAUCAAAGUCGCGUCAUCACGGCCUGCCAGGAAGCCUUCAUUAAAACAGACGGAGGAUUUUGAAACUGUGGGACGUCCACAGAGUCACCUUGGUCGAUCUGUUGUUAAAACCCUGAGGAGAACUUUAAUCACAGGGAUUUGGUCUCGGAAGAAAGGCUUUAAAAUCCUGUGUUACAUAAUUCAGAAACAGUGACAGUGACUAAAAUAGUGGUAGAUUUUGAAAUGGUGGCAUGUCCGUGGAGUUUUUGCAGGUAUCAGUCAGAGUUUCAUCUCAGUGAGAAGGAAACUGUGAGCUUUGAGUCUGGAUGGUGACAGUAACUGUUUUGCAAUAAUCCUCUGGAUUAAAAAUGCAGGAAAAUGUAACUUUCUUUGUGCUUGUUCAGACUGAUAAAACACCGAUUACAUGACUUAUCACAGAGUGAGUCAGUCAUUUGAAUUAUGAAUAAGAAUGUUCUUGGGCAAAAUGUAAUUUACACACCUGGUGAUGUUGUUUAUUUUCCUUUUUUUAGUAGAACAAACUCGUUAUUUUCUGGAAAUAGUUGAUGAAACAUAAAACAGCCAAAAGAGAUUUUCAUUUCCUGUUUUAAUUAUUUUAUCUUUGACUUUUUGUUAAUGUGAUAAUGGCUAAUUUAGGUUUCUGCUGUUAAGAUAUGUAAAUGAAUAUUCUUGUUUUUAUUUUUUUGUAAUAUUUAGCUUAUGAAACAAUUUACAUUAAAAACCACAAUCAUAUCAGUGUUUUAAAAUAAAAAUGAUAUGAUACAAAAUAAACAUAAAUUUAAGAACAAAAUCUUGUGUUUAAUAGAAAAAUUGUUUAAGUUACUAAAUUACUCUCAUACUUUGUUCCGGAUUAAUGUUCCAAACAGAAAUAUAAGAUAAAAAAGAUAUUAGAAUCUGAUUUGUAAAAAUGUAUGAUAUGUUCAUAUUUGUGACACAUGUUGUUAAUAGAAAUGAAUAAAUAGUGUGAUUGUUAUCUAUAUUAUAUUGUUUCUGUUUUAUUCUCAUUUCACUUCAUUUUUUAAGAAGUUCCCUUCAUAAAAGAACUCAAUUGAUAUUUGAUGUUUCAAAGAUCAAAGAAAUAAAAAAUGGUAAAUGUUAUUAAAUUUGAUCAAUAGGAUAACCCAUUGAUCUAUGAGUUAAUUCAACUCAAAAAUACGCUGUUUUAGGAUCAUUUGACUUUUUUAUGUAUCACAGGUCCAAUUUUCUUUCUGGUAUUGCAGCACAGAUUUGUUAUUGGAUUUUAUGGAGUAAGAUAUCUGUCAAAUACAGAUAUAUUCAUAAAGACGACAUUUAGCACAAAUCAAUACUUUGUACUAAACUUUAUCUAGAAUACUUUUUAACAUUAAAUGUUAAUAAUUCCAUGUUUCAGUAAAUAAAAAUCAAACUGCAAUACUUAUAUUUAGUGUAGUAUACAAAGACCUUUUCCU